CCAGAACGGCGGCGGCUCCUCAACAAAGAAAUGCAGCAGAAGCUGUCUGAGGCAGCCUACGAUGGGCACAGCAAGGGACCGUGGACAACCCUGCCAAAGCUGAAGCACGAAUCUUUUGCUUAUGUUGAUGAGGAUGAGGAUACAGAUGAGAAGGGAGAGGUGAGGGAGAGAAGUGGAGAGAUUGCAACACAGAGACUGCAUAAGAAGCAAUAAGGCAUUUGGAGAGCCUGAGAAAGAAAUGACACAGGGUGGACUUUUAUUUUCUCUCCUUUCCAUAACAGCCCCCAAGUCCCACUCCCAGUUACCCAGAGGAGCCCAAUGGCCCAACAAGUCCUCUUAAACAAAUGCCUGAAACUUUGGAGCCACAGCGAUUCCCAGACAAUUUCAGGCAUUUGAGGCAACUGAUCCAGCAGCUCUUGUGCCAUUACAGCCGUCCACUUGAAACAGAGAGUGUCGUCCAGGUUAGUGAUACAGAGAGCCUACUACUCAGAGCCAUUCAGCAUUUCGCCAAAGUGUGGACAUGUUUAUGGUCCUGAACUCUGACGGCAUCAGUGAGGAACUCUCUCCAAGGAGAAAGGGUGUGAUUACUGUAAAGCAGUGUGCAUCUUCCUAAAGAGCCAUCUGUUCUUAGGUGUCAAGGCUACCAUCAUGACUGAAUGUGGGCAUCUUUCUCAGUGAAUAACUUAAUGCUAUUUUGGCUAACUUGGAAUAAAAUGCAGUUCUAUUCCAUUUGGCAAACAGUUUUGGCCAGAUAAAAAUGAAAAAAUGCUUUUGCCUUGUGCCAUGUUAGAUGCCCUUGGGUAUCUGACAUAUCUGCACAUGGUUGGUGGACAUCAUACAGAGCCUAUGGGAAACCCAUCCACUCUAGGACAGUGGUUGGACUCCAUGUGGGAUAUCUGAGAGCAUCUAAAGCAGUACUAGAUGACCAUGUUUAGGCACCUGAAUUGCUCCACCAGUAUUCCAUAGUCAAUCUUCACUGGCCAGGGAAGCACAGCAAGUACAGAGUACACCUUAUAAUGUAUGAGUAUAAAGAAUAUCUAAACACUCAGCAAUACAGUAUUUGGAACAAAAAGGGGACUGCAUAGGGUGAGGAGGCUGUGCAAAUUUUUCCUUUCUGUGCCCUGUGAAACUGUGCGUUCUUUGUCCUUGAACAGUGUCUUCUCCUACAGGAGCCGGAGGAAGUCAUUGAGACAAUGAGGCCAGAAGAGGUAAGACUGGGUGCAGAAAGGAAGUGAGGUCAAUCGAGUGCUUCUUUUGCCUAUUGCCUAUCACUUGCAAUACUUCCUGAGCUCCAACAACCUCAGUGAUUGCCACAUAAAGCCAUAGCUAAAGCCAUUUUCUUCUUAGAGUUGCACAGUGGACAAGUCUCACCCAGUAAGAGAAGAGAUUGUUCUGCUAGGUGUGCUGAGUAAGGCUCUGACUCAUCUGAUCUAGCUUUGAAGUCAGUCCUGCUGUGAGCAGGGUUUUGGACUAGAGACCUCCACAGGUCCCCCCUCACCUAAAUCUUUCUGUGGGUCUAUGUUGUUCCUUUAGUUUUUAGACAAAGG
ensembl:lncRNA